rnacentral:miRNA from 1 species
AGUUGAUUUGGAGUAGUACUAUG